rnacentral:rRNA from 1 species
CAGUAGGGAAUCUUCCACAAUGGGCGAAAGCCUGAUGGAGCAACGCCGCGUGAGUGAAGAAGGAUUUCGGUUCGUAAAACUCUGUUGUAAGGGAAGAACAAGUACAGUAGUAACUGGCUGUACCUUGACGGUACCUUAUUAGAAAGCCACGGCUAACUACGUGCCAGCAGCCGCGGUAAUACGUAGGUGGCAAGCGUUGUCCGGAAUUAUUGGGCGUAAAGCGCGCGCAGGUGGUUUCUUAAGUCUGAUGUGAAAGCCCACGGCUCAACCGUGGAGGGUCAUUGGAAACUGGGAGACUUGAGUGCAGAAGAGGAUAGUGGAAUUCCAAGUGUAGCGGUGAAAUGCGUAGAGAUUUGGAGGAACACCAGUGGCGAAGGCGACUAU